AAAAUUAUUUUUCAUGAGACCUCUAUAGCAAAUAAACAAUUUCCACGAAACGGACAUAUUUUAAUAUUAAGCUCAAAUGCAUACUCAAAUCACCAAAUUAAUGGACUAAACUUUCUAGUCCACUAAAUAAGACCCCAAUGAACAACUUUCAUUCUUUGUGAAGUUUCAAAA